UCCCCAAUGUCUGAGGUUAGGAUUGGGGAAGGGGCUCCUAGAUGCUGAGGUUAGGAUUGGGGAAGGGGCUCCUAGAUGCUGAGGUUAGGAUUGGGGAAGGGGCUCCUAGAUGCUGAGGUUAGGAUUGGGGAAGGGGCUCCUAGAUGCUGAGGUUAGGAUUGGGGAAGGGGCUCCUAGAUGCUGAGGUUAGGAUUGGGGAAGGGGCUCCUAGAUGCUGAGGUUAGGAUUGGGGAAGGGGCUCCUAGAUGCUGAGGUUAGGAUUGGGGAGGGGGCUCCUAGAUGCUGAGGUUAGGAUUGGGGAGGGGGCUCCUAGAUGCUGAGGUUAGGAUUGGGGAAGGGGCUCCUAGAUGCUGAGGUUAGGAUUGGGGAAGGGGCUCCUAGAUGCUGAGGUUAGGAUUGGGGAGGGGGCUCCUAGAUGCUGAGGUUAGGAUUGGGGAAGGGGCUCCUAGAUGCUGAGGUUAGGAUUGGGGAAGGGGCUCCUAGAUGCUGAGGUUAGGAUUGGGGAGGGGGCUCCUAGAUGCUGAGGUUAGGAUUGGGGAGGGGGCUCCUAGAUGCUGAGGUUAGGAUUGGGGAAGGGGCUCCUAGAUGCUGAUUCACCCCCCUCCCCAAUGUCUGAGGUUAGGAUUGGGGAAGGGGCUCCUAGAUGCUGAGGUUAGGAUUGGGGAAGGGGCUCCUAGAUGCUGAGGUUAGGAUUGGGGAAGGGGCUCCUAGAUGCUGAGGUUAGGAUUGGGGAAGGGGCUCCUAGAUGCUGAGGUUAGGAUUGGGGAGGGGGCUCCUAGAUGCUGAGGUUAGGAUUGGGGAAGGGGCUCCUAGAUGCUGAGGUUAGGAUUGGGGAAGGGGCUCCUAGAUGCUGAGGUUAGGAUUGGGGAAGGGGCUCCUAGAUGCUGAUUCCCCCCCUCCCCAAUGUCUGAGGUUAGGAUUGGGGAAGGGGCUCCUAGAUGCUGAUUCCCCCCCUCCCCAAUGUCUGAGGUUAGGAUUGGGGAAGGGGCUCCUAGAUGCUGAGUCACCCCCUCCCCAAUGUCUGAGGUUAGGAUUGGGGAAGGGGCUCCUAGAUGCUGAUUUCCCCCCCCCAGGAAACUGAUACUAGAUCUGUACAUAAGGGCGCCGCUGACCAACAGGAACUAUAAUAGAUACCAAACACAAUAACUAUCGGCCCCUUUGGUUUACAAAACGGUCAUUGUAAAUGGAAAAACUAUAUAUAUAUUAUUAUUAUUUAUAAUAAAAUAACUUUUAAAUUAGAUGAUUCCGUCUGUUAUCAAGGUUAAUUUUCUCUCUCACAGGACUGUAUAUACACACAC